rnacentral:rRNA from 1 species
GACGAACGCUGGCGGCGUGCUUAACACAUGCAAGUCGAACGGAAAGGCCCUGCUUUUGUGGGGUGCUCGAGUGGCGAACGGGUGAGUAACACGUGAGUAACCUGCCCUUGACUUUGGGAUAACUUCAGGAAACUGGGGCUAAUACCGGAUAGGAGCUCCUGCUGCAUGGUGGGGGUUGGAAAGUUUCGGCGGUUGGGGAUGGACUCGCGGCUUAUCAGCUUGUUGGUGGGGUAGUGGCUUACCAAGGCUUUGACGGGUAGCCGGCCUGAGAGGGUGACCGGCCACAUUGGGACUGAGAUACGGCCCAGACUCCUACGGGAGGCAGGAGUGGGGAAUAUUGCACAAUGGGCGGAAGCCUGAGGCAGCAACGCCGGGUGCGGGAUGACGGCCUUCGGGUUGUAAACCGCUUUCGCCUGUGACGAAGCGUGAGUGACGGUAAUGGGGAAAGAAGCACCGGCUAACUACGU